rnacentral:tRNA from 1 species
GUCCCCUUCGUCUAGAGGGCCCGGGACACCGCCCUUUCACGGCGGUAACAGGGGUUCGAAUCCCCUAGGGGACGCCA